rnacentral:misc_RNA from 1 species
ACCUAUUGACUGGAGGGUCACCGGAGGGACCAAAUACCGUACAAGACUAUGUCAGCGAUUUAAGGGAAAAAAUGCGCGACUUCAAAGUGAAAACUAGUGAUCAAGAGUGGUACCAGUGAAACCUACGACAUUGGCUACGACUUAGGACAUCGUUAGUGCUUAGUGUUUGAACCUAGUGCUUUGUGUUGGACCUAGUGCUAGUGAAUAAAGUCUUGAAAAGAGUCA